rnacentral:rRNA from 1 species
AACUCCGUGCCAGCAGCCGCGGUAAUACGGGGGGUGCAAGCGUUAAUCGGAAUUUCGGGGCGUAAAGGGUCUGUAGGUGGUUUGUUAAGUCAGAUGUGAAAGCCCAGGGCUCAACCUUGGAACUGCUUUUGAUACUGGCAAACUAGAGUACGGUAGAGGAAUGGGGAAUUUCUGGUGUAGCGGUGAAAUGCGUAGAGAUCAGAUGGAACACCAAUGGCGAAGGCAACAUUCUGGACC